rnacentral:RNase_P_RNA from 1 species
AGAGUGGGUUGGGCUGCCGCGUGAGCAUCACUCGUGGCCGUGGGGCACGCUCGGGAUGCUCCCGAGGAAAGUCCGAACUCCACAGGGCAACGGCGCUGGGUAACACCCAGGAGGGGCAACCCUACGGAAAGUGGCACAGAAACUACACCGCCUGAAUCGCACGCCAGUGCGAUCACGGUAAGGGUGAAAAGGUGCGGUAAGAGCGCACCAGCGGCAUGGAGACAUGCCGGCUGGCUAAACCCCGCCGGGAGCAAGGUCACAUAGGGGGACGAUCUCUCAGACAGGCGGUACGCACUGCGCACGCGCAGUCUGAUGGAGCGGAUGGCCCAUCCGGAUCCCCGGGUAGACCGCUGGAGCGCCAUGGCAACAUGGCGCGGAGAUAAAUGGCAGCCGGAGUCUCGCGACUACACUGUCCCGCUGCGCGGGCCCGUGACCGCGAGCCUUCCACAGAAUUCGGCUUAUAGACCCACUCUCUGC